rnacentral:rRNA from 1 species
AACGAACGCUGGCGGCAUGCCUAACACAUGCAAGUCGAACGAGACCUUCGGGUCUAGUGGCGCACGGGUGCGUAACGCGUGGGAACCUGCCCUUAGGUUCGGAAUAACUCCCCGAAGGGGGUGCUAAUACCGGAUAAUGUCUUCGGACCUAAGAUUUAUCGCCUUUGGAUGGGCCCGCGUUGGAUUAGCUAGUUGGUAGGGUAAAAGCCUACCAAGGCGACGAUCCAUAGCUGGUCUGAGAGGAUGAUCAGCCACACUGGGACUGAGACACGGCCCAGACUCCUACGGGAGGCAGCAGUGGGGAAUAUUGGACAAUGGGCGAAAGCCUGAUCCAGCAAUGCCGCGUGAGUGAUGAAGGCCUUAGGGUUGUAAAGCUCUUUUACCCGGGAUGAUAAUGACAGUACCGGGAGAAUAAGCUCCGGCUAACUCCGUG